GUGAAAACGCAAAAUCAUCACAAACUGAAGUCUGCAGACAACUCCAGUUUGGGAGAAGUGGGUCAGUGGAAGAGAAGCAGCUGACUGCGCCGAGUAACUCUGGAUCCUGCGGGUUGGCUUAACAAGAAGGUGUGUAGCACUGGUGAAGUUUAAAGUGAUGCAAGUAUUGGGAAUAUGGCAGCUGCUGAAAGAGAGAAGACAGCUGAUGUGGAAUGACCUGAAUCGGUUUGGUAUACUGAAAAGGGCAAAGAAAACUGCCUGUCAGUGAGAAGUUCUUCCUGUGGAGUGAUGUACAAAAUUCUAGUAAGAGACUCUUUGUCCCGAAGAUCAUGCCUUUGAAGUAUGCAAGACAGGCAAAGUGUGGCAGAAGGGAAGAACUGUUAUAACUAAUUUACAGGAAACUGAAGCUCAAAGAUGUUAACUUUUCCCAAGAUCAGACAGAAGGCUGGAACUGUGAAUCAAGAUUAAUGAAAAACUGGACCUAAGAAAACAUGUCCUUCAGCUGAAUUGCUCCUCGGUUCCUUCAUCUUUACAAGAUCUCUCUUCAUUUUGCCCUCCUAAGUUGGGAAAAUUAAUACAUCCCAAAGCGUGGAACUAGCCUGGGAGAUCCCUUGACUUCCUGACUGCAUUGUCUGGGAUGAUAAACUCGAGGGAGAAUGAAGAUUUGAGCUCAUGUAUCCCAUGCCAGUGCUGUCAUUGCCAGAAUACUCUAGAGCCUGCAAAUUCCUUUGUCACCCUCCACAUGAACAGGGCUCUGUUUGGCCUCACAGGAGGCUCUGAUGUGACAGAGCCCCUGGAUAUUUUGCAGAGCAGAGAUGCUGCUCUUUGCUCAGCCCUGGUAACAAGUUCCUGGUGUGGUGUUUAGUGUUUUGUGUUGGCUGCGCUGUGGCUGGAGGCAAAGCAUCGAUGGAGAGGCUUGGAAUGAAUGGUGGGAAGUGAUUUAAGCACAACGCGGCGGAGGAGCCGGAAUGCCAUGUGUGGUGUCUGCUGUCACUGGCAGCACAACAGUGGAACACUGAGCUGGGACGGAAGGGAAUGAGGAUGGAGGAAAUGGGGAUUAAAAAACUUUUAUUAAUGAAACAGCUGUAACACCUUAGGUUUAGAUGUCACGUUCCCAUCUUCUAAUGUCUAUGGAGAGGAGGAGAAAUGACUUUCCAAAGACAAGCCAGCUGACAAGGAGUGUGAUUUUAAAACAGGCAAGACUGUUGGAAAGAAAAACCUCUUUGGUCAUCUGAAGUAGCAGGAAACAAAUGGAAGAGAAGGGUCUUGGAAAGUGAGAGCGUUUCUGAACCUGCCCGACAUGCAUUCCCUUCGCGCCAGCUCACGCCCGAUCUGUCUUUCCUUCAAUCUUAUUCCUUUCUGUUUCAGAAGAUACUGUUCCAGAGACAGGUCUACAGGAAACUGACUGAAAUGUUUAAAUAGAUAACCGAAGACAUCACACAUUCUGAAAAAUUACAAGGAACAUGCAGGAAAUCUUUAACAUGAGUGUGAAAAAGAUGACGGUUCUGCUUCUUCCAUGACAUUGUAAUAUCAGCUUGGCUGGGAAUAUAAUCACUAAGCUGUACACAAACCCAGCUGUGGAGACAGCAAAAAGCACCUGAGAAGUCAGCACAGAACAAGCUUGUUUUCAUUAAAGCAGUGAUUUAAUUACCACCAGCAAUGCUCACCUACAACUGUUGAUGUCAACGUGCAGUGUUGAUUUGGGAUGAGGUGUGUUGACAUAAUGAAAAAAAUUUUGUCCGAGCAUGAACCCUUUACCCUGGGCUUCCACAGGUCUGGCUUCCAAAGUCGGAGGCUACUUUGCUACCAGGAUCAUUUAGAAUUCUGAAACAGUGGUCCAAGCGCUUGCAAAGGUCUUGGUGACCUGCACAGUCUCUUUAUUUUGCCAUCCAGGUUAUUAAUGGAAGUUUUGAACAAGAGCAAGCCUAGAACACAUUCCUAAGUUGAAAUAACCACAUGAUUUGAUACUCAGACUUGCACUGGUGGCUGUGCAGGCAACUCUAACGUCAUCAUGCAGCUGCAUUCUGUGGGGUCCUGGGGAGGGACAGCGCCCAUUGCAUCUACAGAGUUUGGAACAGGCAGUACAAGUACCCAGCCCCCUGAACUGGAAGACAGGGGCAAGGAGCAGAAUGAAGCCCCCACAAUACAAGGGGAAAUGGUCAAUGACCUGAUACACCACUUAGGCACACACACGAGUCUGUGCGGUCGGAUGGGAUCCACCCAAAGGAGAACAUCAAGGAAAACUAUUAUUUUCCUUCAGUCUUGAAGGUAUGGAGAUUAUUAGCAUUUUAUGCCACUGAGGUCACAUCAAGACUCCAUUGGAAAUGUAGAGGAAAUUAACUUUACAAUUUUAUAGCAGGAAAUCCAACAUUCAACAUAAAGGUGUGAUUCAUAAAACUCACUCAUUUGAUUCUGCCUUCAGAGCUUAAACCCGCAGACCUACAUCCCAAUCCAAGUGGAAAGGUGGUUGUAAUUCAGUAACUGUCUGCCUGGCAAGAAGAAUCAGGUCAUUACCCAUGACUGGCAGUGCUAAAAGAGCAGCUGGAAUUCAUACCAAUUCCCGCCCUGGAAGAGAUGGUGAUGUGUCAGGUUGGAUAUAACGAGGCAACUUCAGUGUAGAAUGACAGAAGAGCAGGUGUGCCCCGGUUCCUGAUGUUCUUGGAUAAAUACACACAUCUGCAACCUGAAAAGCCCAGGCAACAGUUUAAGGACCUGCAUCAUCCAUAAAACGGAGAAGAUGACAGUGUCUUUCCUUCAUUUACCUGCUGUUUGAGAACUUCAGCAUGGAUAUCGCAGAUUCCUCCUGACCCUGUCCCAGUGUUGUCCUUCACUUUACGACGCACAGUUUAAGGUCAAAUGAUAGCCACAUCAUCAACCGCAUUCCAUCCACAGAUGGAGCUGAGUGGUGUAUGUAGUUGGCUGCUAAUCUGCGAGUGAUGGAGGAGGUGACAGAGGCUACAACAGGGGUUUAUUACACUCUGUGUAGGCUACGGAGAGCUUUGUGAAACCCAGGUUUCAAGUGGCAUAAAUUGGUUUUACGACUCUGACCUCUGCUGAACUACGGAGCAACUGCUGGAACGAUCUGGAUCCUUAACUGGUGCAAUUUGGCAU